UUCUAGCUAUAAUAGAUUCCCCAACCGGUGUGGACACUUCAAAUGGCUUAACUAACAGUUUGGGUAUUCUUUCAAACUUUCCAGCAACCAAUGGAGUAGCAUAAGAUAAUGUAGAACCGGGAUCAAUUAAGGCAUAUAAAUUGAAUGAAAAUAUAGACAACGUACCCGUAACCACAUCUGGAGAAGCCUCUAAAUUCUGUCGAUCUGCUAGAGCAUACGUACGAUUUUGAGCCCCGCUAGAACUCGUGGCUCCUCUAUCACCUCUAACACGACCCAUUGGCUGUGCACCCCUUCCUGAAUAAGGCAUCGAUGAUGAUGAUGCAACAAAUGACCCCGUAGGUCGUGCCAUACCCC
rnacentral:lncRNA from 1 species